AGUGAACGCUGGCGGUAGGCCUAACACAUGCAAGUCGAACGGCAGCACAGUAAGAGCUUGCUCUUACGGGUGGCGAGUGGCGGACGGGUGAGGAAUACAUCGGAAUCUACUUUUUCGUGGGUGAUAACGUAGGGAAACUUACGCUACUACCGCAUACGACCUACGGGUGAAAGCAGGGGAUCUUCGGACCUUUCGCGAUUGAAUGAGCCGAUGUCGGAUUAGCUAGUUGGCGGGGUAGGCCCACCAAGGCCACGAUCCGUAGCUGGUCUGAGAGGAUGAUCAGCCACACUGGAACUGAGACACGGUCCAGACUCCUAAGGGAGGCAGCAGUGGGGAAUAUUGGACAAUGGGCGCAAGCCUGAUCCAGCCAUACCGCGUGGGUGAAGAAGGCCUUCGGGUUGUAAAGCCCUUUUGUUGGGAAAGAAAAGCAGCAGGUUAAUACCCCGCUGUUCUGACGGUACCCAAAGAAUAAGCACCGGCUAACUUCGUG
rnacentral:rRNA from 1 species